UGGGGAAUAUUGCACAAUGGAGGGAACUCUGAUGCAGCGACGCCGCGUGAGUGAUGAAGGAAUUCGUUUCGUAAAACUCUGUUCUAUGGGAAGAAAAGGACUGUACCAUAGGAGAAAGCUCCGGCUAAAUACGUGCCAGCAGCCGCGGUAAUACGUAUGGAGCGAGCGUUGUCCGGAAUUAUUGGGCGUAAAGGGUGCGCAGGCGGCUUUACAAGUUGGAUGUAAAAUAUUGUGGCUCAACCACAAACGUGCAUCCAAAACUGCAAAGCUUGAGUUAAGGAGAGGUAAGUGGAAUUCCUGGUGUAGCGGUGGAAUGCGUAGAUAUCAGGAGGAAUACCGGUGGCGAAGGCGACUUACUGGACUUAAACUGACGCUCAGGCACGAAAGCGUGGGGAGCAAACAGG
rnacentral:rRNA from 1 species